rnacentral:lncRNA from 1 species
CUAAAAGGGAGAGGGUUGUGUAGACUCGAGGAAGGAAUUAAACCCCGAACUAACAGAUCAACGAUUUGGUUCAUCCUCCAAUGGAAAAAAGUUGGGAAGUAGGAGAAUCAAAUAGUGGAUUUCUAAAAGGGAAAUGGUUGUGAAGACUCGAGGAAGAAAUAAACACCCGAACUAACAGAACAACGAUUUGGUUCAUCUUCCAAAGGAAAAAAAAAAGUUGGGAAGUUUGUAAACAAUUCUUUUUGUAAACCUGGGAUGUGCUUGUUUGUUUCCCCAUUCCCGACAGUUUUUAUUUUUUGGCUACUUUAUUCCUUGGAGGACCCCAACUGGGGAGAAGUAAGAAGAAGCCAUUUCCACUCUCAAAUAUUCUGCGACCAGAAGUAACUUUGCUGCUGCUGGGGAACGACCACCUAUUUUCCUCUCCUUCCUCCAUCUGGAUGUCAGUCUACAAGCCUGCUGGAGUUGCAGUUUUACAAGGUCUUUGAGUCCCCCUCUGGGUAGAGAAAAGCUGGGUAUAAAUAAGUGUAGAAGAGGCCUAAGGCUCAGGAGACCAUGGUUUGAAUUCCUCACCCAAGGCAAGUCACACUCUCUCAGCCU